rnacentral:pre_miRNA from 1 species
AAUGGAAUUGCUGGAUCAUGUAGUAAUUCUUUUUUAAAUUUUUGAGAAACCACCAAAUUGUUUUGCACAGUGGCUGUAACAUUUUACAUUUUCACCAGCAGU